AGAGCUGUAACUUAAUGGUAGAGCACCUGCUUUGCAUACAGAAGGUCCCAGGUUCAAUCCCCAGCAGCUCCA